AAAGUACUUCCUCCGUCCCAAAAUUCUUGUCUUAGAUUUGUCUAGAUACGGAUGUAUCAAGUCACAUUUUAGUAUUAGAUACAUCCGUAUCUAGACAAAUCUAAGACAAGAAAUUUGGGACAGAGGGAGUAGUUG
rfam:Triticum aestivum genome assembly, contig: Triticum_aestivum_CS42_TGACv1_scaffold_348666_4DL